rnacentral:rRNA from 1 species
UACAGAGGGUGCAAGCGUUAAUCGGAGUUACUGGGCGUAAAGGGCGCGUAGGCGGUUAUAUAAGUGAGAUGUGAAAUCCCUGGGCUUAACCUAGGAACUGCAUCUCAUACUGUAUGACUGGAGUAUUGUAGAGGGUAGUGGAAUUUCCGGUGUAGCGGUGAAAUGCGUAGAGAUCGGAAGGAACACCAGUGGCGAAGGCAGCCUUCUGGCCUAAUACUGACGCUGAGGUGCGAAAGCAUGGGGAGCAAACAGG